rnacentral:rRNA from 1 species
UACGAAGGGGGCUAGCGUUGCUCGGAAUCACUGGGCGUAAAGCGCACGUAGGCGGAUCUUUAAGUCAGGGGUGAAAUCCUGGAGCUCAACUCCAGAACUGCCCUUGAUACUGGGGAUCUUGAGUCCGGAAGAGGUGAGUGGAACUCCGAGUGUAGAGGUGAAAUUCGUAGAUAUUCGGAAGAACACCAGUGGCGAAGGCGGCUCACUGGUCCGGUACUGACGCUGAGGUGCGAAAGCCAGGGGAGCAAACGGG